CCUGCUAACUCAGCCAAAUAGAGUUAGGAAGAAUUUCACUUUUCUACAUAAUCAAACUUGUUCUCUGAGCUGUUGGCAAUGUUUCAUACCAAUAAUAGGGCAUGCAUAUAUCAGCAGGCUCAAAAUCCAUAUUGCCAAAAAAUGCAUCCCCCUCCUAGCUUGAAGAAAUAGAAAAUAAAGAGUUAAGAGGGAUUUUACCUUUUCUACAUGAUCAGAGUAAUUAUAUAAACUGCUGGUAUGAGUUUUAUACCAAUAGGAUAAUAUUUGAGGAAAAUAGAGAGGGCAUGCAAAUAUUGACAGGCUAAUAAUAGGCUUUGACAAAAAAUGCAUCAACCUGCUAACAUGGACAAAUAAAGAGUUAAGAGUGAAAUUACUUUUUCUACACAAUCAUACUUGUUCUUUGAACUGCUGAUAUAAGUUUUAUAUCAAUAGAAUAAUAUUUGGGGAAAAUAGGUAGGGUAUGCAUAUAUUGGCAAGCUAAUAAUUUGCUAUGCCAAAAAAUGCAUCCCCUGCUAACUUGAAGAAAUGAAGAGUUAAGAGGUAUUUGCCUUUUUCUACAUAAUGAGCUACUGCUAUAAGUUUCAUAUCAAAAGACAAGGAUGCAAAUAUUGACAGGGUCAGAAAUUAAAAUGCAUCCCCCCUACAUUAAUAGACCAGACAGUUAAGGAUGAUAUAAAAUGUUCUACAUAAUGGGAUUCUGUUUUGUAAUGCUUUAAGCUAUCAUGGUGUUA